rnacentral:rRNA from 1 species
AACGAACGCUGGCGGCAGGCCUAACACAUGCAAGUCGAGCGCGCCCUUCGGGGUGAGCGGCGGACGGGUGAGUAACGCGUGGGAACGUGCCCUUUUCUACGGAAUAGCCUCGGGAAACUGAGAGUAAUACCGUAUACGCCCUUUGGGGGAAAGAUUUAUCGGAAAAGGAUCGGCCCGCGUUGGAUUAGGUAGUUGGUGGGGUAAUGGCCUACCAAGCCGACGAUCCAUAGCUGGUUUGAGAGGAUGAUCAGCCACACUGGGACUGAGACACGGCCCAGACUCCUACGGGAGGCAGCAGUGGGGAAUCUUAGACAAUGGGGGCAGCCCUGAUCUAGCCAUGCCGCGUGAGUGAUGAAGGCCUUAGGGUUGUAAAGCUCUUUCAGCUGGGAAGAUAAUGACGGUACCAGCAGAAGAAGCCCCGGCUAACUCCGUG